CCUCAAAUCAGGCAGGACUACCCGCUGAACUUAAGCAUAUCAAUAAGCGGAGGAAAAGAAACUAACAAGGAUUCCCCUAGUAACUGCGAGUGAAGCGGGAAGAGCUCAAAUUUAAAAUCUGGCGGCCUCCUGGCUGUCCGAGUUGUAAGCUAGAGAAGCGCAGUCCGCGCUGGGGCCAUGUACAAGUCUCCUGGAACGGAGCGUCAUAGAGGGUGAGAAUCCCGUCUCUGACAUGGACCUCCCAGGCCAUAGCGAUUGCGUUCUCAAAGAGUCGAGUUGUUUGGGAAUGCAGCUCCAAAUGGGUGGUAAACUCCAUCUAAAGCUAAACAUAGGCGAGAGACCGAUAGCGAACAAGUACCGUGAGGGAAAGAUGAAAAGAACUUUGGAAAGAGAGUUAAACAGUACGUGAAAUUGUUGAAAGGGAAACGCUUGAAGUCAGUCACGUCGGCUUGGGAUCAGCCUUGCAACUGCGAGGUGCACUCCCUGGUCGACGGGUCAGCACCAGUUUCGACCGCUGGAGAAAGGUCGGGGGAAUGUGGCAUCCUCGGAUGUGUUUAUAGCCCUCGAUUGCAUGCAUCGGUUGGGAUUGAGGAACUCAGCGCGCCGCAAGGCCGGGUUUUCGAACCACGUCCGCGCUCAGGAUGCUGGCACAAU
rnacentral:rRNA from 1 species